AUAGGUCAAUGACUCAGGGCUAAGGAACCCACUAAACACAGUGCCUGAAUUAUCUUCUUGGGCGUCUAGGUAACAUAUCCUGUUCAGUUGUCAGAAGAAGGAAGAGAAGAGCUUAUUCAAGCACAGUGAACCACAGAAUGAAAUUUUAUUUUUAUUUUUCAAAUAUUUAUUAUUUAUUUUGACUGCACUGGGUCUUCGUUGCAGAAUACAGGAUCUAGUUCCCUUGCCAGGAAUUGAACGUGGGCCCCCUGCAUUGGAAGCACGGAGUCUUACCCACUGAGACCACCAGGGUAGUCCCUGCAAUUUUAACUAUAAAAUUUAUCCUCAAAUAUUUAAUCUCCAGUUCUUUCUCAUACUCAGUUCUUUUAAAGUUCCACAUCACUCCUGUCACUNAAGAAACCUGAAGAACAACACAUUUCCUGAAUGUAGAAGGGAAGAAUGUGAGGGGCAAAAGGAGAGGGGACGGGGGCAGGGGUACUAUGGUCAAUAAUGAUGAGGAGAGUGUGAUAAGACCCAAUUCAGGACCCAAUUUUGCCUUGAAUAAUUAGCAAGAAUUAUCAACUUACCAAAAAUCAGAACACAUAUCUGUUUCUACUCUUUUUUCAAAUGUGGACCAUUUUUUGAAUCUUUAUUGAAUCUGUUACAGCAUUGCUUCUGUUUUAUGUUUGUUUGUUUUUUUAACUCUGAGGCAUGUGGGAUCCUAGGUCCCCAACCAGGGACUACAUUUGUGAGGUAAAGUCUUAACCACUGGACCACUGGGGAGUUCCCCUAUUUCUGUUUCCGAAAGAAAAUGAUGAAAUAAAUUGCUUAGAGUGAGAAUGUUAAAACUGUUAAGUUUACCAAAGAAAACAUAAAGGAAUUUAUUUCUAAUUUCAGUUAGGCAACUGCUGUAAGCAGGACAAAAACCGACGAACUUUAAAAGAAGGUAACUGAGACUUUCGAUCUGUUCAAGAUGUACCAUGAACAGAGUACAUAGGUAAUCCAGAGAAUUAGAAUAGAAAUUUAAAAUUUAUAGUGAAGUGAAAGUCACUCAGCUGUGUCUGACUCUUU
rnacentral:lncRNA from 1 species